AUGAAUAAAGUUUUAUGAAAAAGAAAAAAAAAAAAUUUCGCCUUUUACUAAAGAUUUCCGUGCAGUGGAACAAUCAAUGAGUCUAUAGACAUAUUUCUGCAGUCCCAUCUCUAUGGGAU